CUUGUGCCAGCAGCCGCGGUAAUACAGAGGGUGCAAGCGUUAAUCGGAAUUACUGGGCGUAAAGCGCGCGUAGGUGGUUCGUUAAGUUGGAUGUGAAAUCCCCGGGCUCAACCUGGGAACUGCGUUCAAAACUGACGAGCUAGAGUAUGGUAGAGGGUGGUGGGAUUUCCUGUGUAGCGGUGAAAUGCGUAGAUAUAGGAAGGAACACCAGUGGCGAAGGCGACCACCUGGACUGAUACUGACACUGAGGUGCGAAAGCGUGGGGAGCAAACAGGAUUAGAUACCCUG
rnacentral:rRNA from 1 species